GAGCCGGAGACCCUGAUGAGUCUGUCGGCCCAGAUGACCCUCUACCAGAAAGACCUGGCUCUGCUGCCCGACACCAUCAAGACGUACAGCCACCCUGACGUGGUGGAGUGCAGCCUGGUGGUGCUCCACCUGGCCCGGGGCUCCACCCUGGUGACGGAGGCCCUGCAGACGACCGCCAGGGACCUGCUGCGCCACUACGCCAGCAGCCCCGACGCCCAGAGGGCCGCCCGGGCCUUCCUCGCCUGAGGACCUCUGGGAGGACACCCAGGGGGCCGCCCGGGCCUUCCUCGCCUGAGGACCUCUGGGAGGUCACCCAGGGGGUUCCUCACCUGAGGACCUCUGGGAGGACACCCAGGGGGUUCCUCACCUGAGGACCUCUGGGAGGACACUCUGUCCCCCCUGUUUAGUUGGUUUCGUUUGAGACUGUACGACAACGUUGCGCUUUGUUUACUUUGUGGAAACUCCCAAUAGCAGCAUUUAUACUGUAUCACUUUCUGUUGAAUAAAAUAUUUCUGUACUCGAUGCUCCCGUGGGUCAGUGGUCGUCUUUAUCUAAAGGUACGGCCACACCAAAAGCGUUACCCGCGUAUCACGCGUAUAAAAUCGGCAAUUUUUCCAUAGGGAACCAUUGGUUUACGCGCGUAUGAGACGCGUACACGCGUUACACGCGUAUAAGCAACAUUUUACUCGCGUUAGGCGCGUAUGAGGCGCGUAUAUAUACGCGCGUAUAUAUACGCGCGUACAUAUACGCGCGUACGAGGAGUUCAAAAAAUUGAACUUUUUACGCUCAUACGCGCCGCAAUAGCCAAUCAGCGUUGAGCUUGACCCGACGUCACUGGCAGAGAGUAGUGAGCUUGGACAGAAGCAUACGGCCGACAUCUUUCUUUAUUCUGUGUGGAAAUAGUAACAUAGUUACGCCAUUAAAUGCUUUUAUGGAAACAUUUUUAGCGAGAAAUGUGCAUUUUACUUUCAUAAUGUUCGCUCGGUGAAUGUGAAGGAUGUUUGGUUUGAUAGUUAUGACGAAGAGGGAACGCUCCGUUCACUUGCAUGGACAGAGUCUCUGGUUACUAAGCAACCUCAACGUCUUGGCGGACUAUAUAUCUGCUGAUCAACACUACGAAUGCUGGAAACACACCAGACACACCAUGUGAAGUUAUUUAAGACGAUUAUUGUUAUUUAUAUCCGAGAUUAUUUAAUCUAACCCGAUCUAAGCUCUAUCACCCAAACACGGCGGCGUUUGGGUUUCCUACCUCGGACUCCAGCGCAGCCAUGUCCAUGGCAGCCACGGCCGGCAACUUUCUUUAUUCUGGGUGGAAAUAGUAACAUAGUUACGCCAUUAAAUGCGUUUAUGGAAACAUUUCUAGCGAGAAAUGUGCAUUUUACUUUCAUAAGGUUCGCUCGGUGAAUGUGAAGGAUGUUUGGUUUGAUAGUUAUGACGAAGAGGGAACGCUCCGUUCACUUGCAUGGACAGAGUCUCUGAUUGCUAAGCAACCUCAACGUCUUGGCGGACUAUUUCUCUGCUGAUCAACACUACGAAUGCUGGAAACACACCAGACACACCAUGUGAAGUUAUUUAACCCGAUUAUUGUUAGUUAUAUCCGAGAUUAUUUAAUCUAACCCGAUCCAAGCUCUAUCAUCCACCCAAACACGGCGGCGUUUGGGUUUCCUUCCUCGGACUCCUAAAUCCAGCGCAGCCACAGGCUGGGGGGGGGGGGGGUCUCAUCUACGCGCGUAUCUGACCAUUUUUGACACAAAAUGGCCAAGCAACAUUUUAGCUGCGUUACGCGCGUACAUGGUACGCGAGGUACGCG
ensembl:lncRNA